rnacentral:sRNA from 1 species
GCACCUGCAAAUUCAGGUGCCGGGAUUAGCGUUCCGCUGAGGUUUACCGCGACAAUGUGACACGCCGCGAGCGUGUUUUUU